UCUGCUGUGAUGGGUUUCUACUGCAAUCUUUAGCGUGGAAAAUUACUGUAAAAUACACCAGUGUACUCUCCUACCUGGAUAGUGCCAAGGGAUGCUAUUUACGUCUCCUCACUAUGCUGAAAGCCAUCUUAAAUAAGCAUACCAAGUAAAACCAGUAUGCUUACUAUGGCCUGAAGCUUCACAACAGAUUUUUUGGCUGUUCAUUUCCACUCAGAUGGCUGCUCCUUUGCAGACGGAUGCAAAUUCUGAAACUUGAACAGGCAGUACACAUGCGGGAUGAGAUGGAUUCGUUGCGUGAGCAGUGAGAAAUUAGCAGCUUAGGUUGCAGUGUGCUGGUUUCGUCCUAACGAGAGGAAACAUGAGACCUGAAUUUCCACGAGGGGAGACUCAGUGAAGCUAGAAUGCAGGCCCCAAAAAUGGUGGACCAGGGGAACCAACAAGCAAGUCAAACGAAGACAGGCUGUCACAGUGUGAAUCACCACCUGUUGUGUGGAAUCAGGUACUCUGACAAUAUCCACUGUGACAUGGGAAGGACAGACAUCAUCGAUGGUAUCAUCAAUGUACAGAGAUUACUGCCCUACUAAAGCAAUGGACAACAACACUUGCAUCUUAAAGACAAGUAGGAAUUAUCUGGGGUAAAGGUAUCAGAGGAAGGAGCCAGAAAAUGGGUAACAGGCAGAGGAAAGAGCACAUUUGAAAGCCCAAGGCACUGCUCUGAGGUGCGUGGAAUGAAGUGAUGACAGCUGGAACCAGAGGAGAGCUCCUGAAUCAUGAUGUGAACUUGAGAACAGAGGCCCAGAAAGGUGACAGAUAGACAUAGCUGAAUCAAUGAAGGACAAUACUUGCCUAAAAUGUGCAACAUAAAUAUAGAAAUCCUAUGAACAGAAGAUUCAAAACCAGUACUGGAACAAAACGAGCUCUGAGCUCUGGUGAAUCUUCUGUGUAGAAGGCCACAUCUGAACGACCAACAAAGUCUUUCAGCUGCUUCCUUGUUCCAUAGCUGGCCAGAUUACAGAUCUUGCUGGCUGGCUUUUUCAUUAUUCCUCCUUUGAAGAUCUCUUUAACCACACCUUUCUGGAACCAAGGGACAAGAAAUACUCUUUAAAAACCGUUGGAUUACCACGUUGAGAAGCAUCUUUGUGCUUUCUUCUUUUUCUGGAUGAAGAUCAGCCAAACACAGAAGCAGCAUUAAUGUUCCUUUGCUGGCAGUUCCAUCCAACCUCCCAGGGGAAGGCAUUUUGCCAAGUUCUUCUCUGCCCAUUUGAAAUUCAAAUCCCUGAAUAAGCCUCAGUGCCACCUUUGUCCAGAAACCUCAAAAGCCCCAGUCCAUGUCAAUCUGCCUUGAAAUUAUAAAGGGACAUAUUACUGUGUAGGAAGAUAAGCUGUGUUGAAAUAACAUCCAGGGUGGUUGUUAAAUAAAUUCAGGAAAACCAAGA